rnacentral:lncRNA from 1 species
UUGUCUUGUCUGAACAACUUAAUCUUUUUGGCUUGGAUAUCCUGGUAGCAGUUUCUCCAAUUGUCUAAAACAUUUGUGAGCCUAGGAAGUUGUGAUGCCAUAUAAUGACCAUUGACCCUAUCUUCAUGUAAUUGACCCUACUUUCCUAUCAAUCAUCCUGACAACAAGUCAAUCUUCUAGACAGUGGCUCUCAUAUCAC